rnacentral:rRNA from 1 species
GGGAUUAGUGAUUGGGGUGAAGUCGUAACAAGGUAGCCGUAGGAGAACCUGCGGCUGGAUCACCUCCUUUCUAAGGAGAAUAGGAAGAAGAAAAUUCUUUCUAAAGGCUGAAUUCUCUGUUUAAUUUUGAGAGACCAUUCUCUCAAAAUGGAGUUAAACAUUAGUUUGUUUAGCUAAGUGAUUGUACCAAAUAAUAGAUUUGGAACAUCAACUUAUGUUCUUUGAAAAUUGCACAGUGAAUAAGUAAAGCUAAAGGUAUAAAAAUCCUUUGUAAGAAUACAAUUUUAAGGUCAAGCUACAAAGGGCGCAUGGUGAAUGCCUUGGCACUAGGAGCCGAAGAAGGACGCGAUAAGCUGCGAUAAGCCUUGGGUAGCCGCAAAUAGGCUGAGAUCCAGGGAUUUCCGAAUGAGGAAACUCACAUGGGUAACCCCAUGUAUCAUGCACUGAAUACAUAGGUGUAUGAGGGUAAACCCGGGGAACUGAAACAUCUAAGUACCCGGAGGAAGAGAAAGAAAAAUCGAUUUCCUAAGUAGCGGCGAGCGAACGGGAAAGAGCCCAAACCAGAAACUUGUUUCUGGGGUUGUGGAUAGAUCAUAAAAGAAGAGGUAUCUUAAUCGAAGAGGGCUGGAACGCCCUACCAUAGAAGGUAAUAGUCCUGUAGAUAAAAAGAGAAAACUUCGAGAUCUAAUCCAGAGUACCACGAGACACGUGAAACCUUGUGGGAAGCAGGGAGGACCACCUCCCAAGGCUAAAUACUACCUAGUGACCGAUAGUGAAGCAGUACCGUGAGGGAAAGGUGAAAAGAACCCCGGAAGGGGAGUGAAAUAGAACCUGAAACCGUGUGCCUACAACCGAUCGGAGCACGUUAAAGUGUGACGAUGUGCUUUUUGUAGAACGAGCCAGCGAGUUACGCUAUGUAGCAAGGUUAAGUACUUAAGGUAUGGAGCCGAAGGGAAACCGAGUCUGAAAAGGGCGAAAAGUUGCAUGGUGUAGACCCGAAACCGGGUGACCUAUCCAUGGCCAGGUUGAAGCGAGAGUAAAAUCUCGUGGAGGACCGAACCACGUUGGUGUUGAAAAACCAUGGGAUGAGCUGUGGAUAGCGGAGAAAUUCCAAUCGAACUCGGAGAUAGCUGGUUCUCCUCGAAAUAGCUUUAGGGCUAGCGUCGUGUAAUUGAGUAAUGGAGGUAGAGCACUGAAUGGGCUAGGGGCUAUAGUAGUUACCGAACCCUAUCAAACUCCGAAUGCCAUAUACUUGUAUCACGGCAGUCAGACUGCGAAUGAUAAGAUCCGUAGUCAAAAGGGAAACAGCCCAGACCAUCAGCUAAGGUCCCAAAGUGUAAGUUAAGUGGAAAAGGAUGUGGGAUUUCUAAGACAACUAGGAUGUUGGCUUAGAAGCAGCCACUCAUUUAAAGAGUGCGUAAUAGCUCACUAGUCAAGAGAUCCUGCGCCGAAGAUGUCCGGGGCUCAAACUUACCACCGAAGCUAUGGGUGUACACUAUGUGUACGCGGUAGAGGAGCUUUCUGUAUGGGUUGAAGUCGUACCGUAAGGAGCGGUGGACUGUACAGAAGUGAGAAUGCUGGCAUAAGUAGCGAGAAAUAAGUGAGAAUCUUAUUGGCCGAAAACCUAAGGUUUCCUGAGGAAGGUUCGUCCGCUCAGGGUUAGUCGGGACCUAAGCCGAGGCCGAAAGGCGUAGGUGAUGGACAAUCGGUUGAUAUUCCGAUACCACCUAUUUACGUUUGAGAAAUGGGGUGACGCAGUAGGAUAAGAUGUGCGCACUAUUGGAUGUGCGUCUAAGCACUUAGGCAUGCUUGAUAGGCAAAUCCGUCGAGCUAAGCUGAGGUGUGAUGGGGAGCCAUUUAUGGCGAAGUAUCUGAUUCCACACUGCCAAGAAAAGCCUCUAUCGAGUGAAUAGGUGCCCGUACCGCAAACCGACACAGGUAGGUGAGGAGAGAAUCCUAAGGCCAUCGGAAGAAUUGCUGUUAAGGAACUCGGCAAAUUGACCCCGUAACUUCGGGAGAAGGGGUGCCUACGAAAGUAGGCCGCAGAGAAUAGGCCCAAGCAACUGUUUAGCAAAAACACAGGUCUCUGCUAAAGCGAAAGCUGAUGUAUAGGGGCUGACGCCUGCCCGGUGCUGGAAGGUUAAGGGGAACACUUAGCGUAAGCGAAGGUGUGAACUUAAGCCCCAGUAAACGGCGGCCGUAACUAUAACGGUCCUAAGGUAGCGAAAUUCCUUGUCGGGUAAGUUCCGACCCGCACGAAUGGCGUAAUGAUUUGGGCACUGUCUCAACAGCAAAUCCGGCGAAAUUGUAGUGCAAGUGAAGAUGCUUGCUACCCGCGAUUGGACGGAAAGACCCCGUAGAGCUUUACUGUAGCUUAGCAUUGAAUCUCGGUAUUGUCUGUACAGGAUAGGUGGGAGACUUGGAAACUUGGGCGUCAGCCUGAGUGGAGUCAUCCUUGGGAUACCACCCUGACAGUACUGGGGUUCUAACCGGCGGCCAUGAAUCUGGUCACGGGACAUUGUUAGGUGGGCAGUUUGACUGGGGCGGUCGCCUCCUAAAAAGUAACGGAGGCGCCCAAAAGUUCCCUCAGCGCGGUCGGAAAUCGCGCGAAGAGUGCAAAGGCAGAAGGGAGCUUGACUGCGACACAUACAGGUGGAGCAGGGACGAAAGUCGGGCUUAGUGAUCCGGUGGUACCUCGUGGGAGGGCCAUCGCUCAACGGAUAAAAGCUACCUCGGGGAUAACAGGCUGAUCUCCCCCAAGAGUCCACAUCGACGGGGAGGUUUGGCACCUCGAUGUCGGCUCGUCGCAUCCUGGGGCUGAAGUAGGUCCCAAGGGUUGGGCUGUUCGCCCAUUAAAGCGGCACGCGAGCUGGGUUCAGAACGUCGUGAGACAGUUCGGUCCCUAUCCGUCGCGGGCGUAGGAAAUUUGAGAGGAGCUGUCCUUAGUACGAGAGGACCGGGAUGGACCAACCUCUGGUGCACCAGUUGUCACGCCAGUGGCACAGCUGGGUAGCUAUGUUGGGACUGGAUAAACGCUGAAAGCAUCUAAGCGUGAAGCCAACCUCAAGAUGAGAUUUCCCAUAGCGUAAGCUAGUAAGACUCCUGGAAGAACACCAGGUUGAUAGGUCAGAGAUGUAAGCAUGGCAACAUGUUAAGUUGACUGAUACUAAUAAGUCGAGGGCUUGACCAA